rnacentral:rRNA from 1 species
ACGAACGCUGGCGGCGUGCUUAACACAUGCCAGUCGAACGGGCCCGCUCUCUUUUUUGGGGGUGGGUUGAGUGGCGAACGGGUGAGUAUCACGUGAGUAACCUGCCCCCUGCUCCUGGAUAACUUCUUGAAAGGGCGGCUAAUACGGGGUGUGCCGGCUGGUCCGCAUGGGCCUGGUCGGGAUAGUUUCAUCUUCGGGUGGUUCGGUGGGGGAUGGGCUCGCGGCCUAUCAGCUUGUUGGUGGGGUGAUGGCCCACCAAGGCGGUGGCGGGUAGCCGGGCUGAGAGGGAGGCCGCCCACACUGGGACUGAGCCACGGCCGGGCGUAGUGCGGGCGGCGGCGGUGGGGGGAAUUACAAAAUGGGCGGAAGCCUGAUGCGGCGGCGGCGCGUGAGGGAUGCGGGCCUUCGGGGUGUGAACCUCUUUCUCCGGUGGUGAAGGCCCUGUCCGUUGCGGCGGGGUUGACGGUAGCCGGGUAUGAAGCGCCGGCUAACUACGUG